rnacentral:lncRNA from 1 species
GUGGAUGACUUGGCCAGUUAUAUAGGAGGAUUCAGGGCUAGAAGCCAGGAAAACAUACGAAGGGGCCACCUCUAUAGGCUGACCAGCCCUCUUCAUUGGCACUUGUUUCCCAAAAUUGGCACACUCCUCUUCAGUAAACGAAGCUGGAAUCAGUGGUGUCCAAAUUGGACCAGGGGCAACGCCAUUAACACGUAUUCCCCUCGGCACACUCCUCUUCAGUAAACGAGGCUGGAAUCAGUGGUGUCCAAAUUGGACCAGGGGCAACGCCAUUAACACGUAUUCCCCUCUCAACAAGCUGAAGAGCAAGUCCUCUAGUAAAUGAAACUAUUGCACCCUU